rnacentral:rRNA from 1 species
UAGGGAAUCUUGGACAAUGGGCGAAAGCCUGAUCCAGCCAUGCCGCGUGAGUGAUGAAGGCCUUAGGGUUGUAAAGCUCUUUCGCCAGGGAAGAUAAUGACGGUACCUGGAUAAGAAGCCACGGCUAACUUCGUGCCAGCAGCCGCGGUAAUACGAAGGGGGCUAGCGUUGUUCGGAAUUACUGGGCGUAAAGCGCACGUAGGCGGCUUUCCAAGUUGGAGGUGAAAUCCCCGGGCUUAACCCGGGAACUGCCUCCAAAACUGAAAGGCUAGAGUCCGAGAGAGGUGAGUGUAACUUCCAGUGUAGAGGUGAAAUUCGUAGAUAUUGGAAAGAACACCAGUGGCGAAGGCGGCUCACUGGCUCGGUACUGACGCUGAGGUGCGACAGCGUGGGGAGCAAACA